UAUUCUAUUUCUCUUCUUUCUGUCUCUAUAUUAUCUUUCGAGAGCAUAAACCAUUUAAAACUUGAUCCUCCCAGCAAGCAUUUCCUCCCACUUUGAUUCACAAACCCCUGGUUCUUCUCCUCGAACACCAAUGGAAAAUGUAAACAUCCCGAGGUCUUGUUCCCUGAUUAGUCCUGGAAGCACUGGCUACUUGACAAAGUCACCUGGUUCUUUGGGUGGGCUCUAGGCGGCGCUGCAGUGUGAGGUGUGUCCCUGGUGUGAGAGGUGCAGCAGUCUUGGAUCCCAGCGAGCUUUGAGGAGUCCCACCAAAAGCUUGCUUGACAGAGAGAAGAUACAGGUGCCAGGAAGCCCCAGGAUAAUUUGCCAAACACAGUGCUGACACAGGGGUGCUGGUACCUCUUUGAAAGGCCAGUUUCUGCGGUGGGGCUCUAUCUCCAGCAAACCUGGGCUGGAAAGGUGCCCCCCAGCCCGCCCAGGUUGAGCCAUGGCUUCUGCAAGACUCUCUUCGCUUCUAAUUCUUUUUACACUGAGUGGACUGAGAGCUCAGUCCGUGACUCAGUCAGAAGAUCGGGUUCCUGUCACCGAAGGGGAUCCAGUGACUGUGAAAUGUACCUAUUCAGUUUCUGGGACCCCUUAUCUCUUUUGGUAUGUCCAACAUCCCAACCAAGGUCUCCAGUUCCUUCUGAAAUACAUUGGAGGGGACAACCUGGUUAAAGGUAGCUACGGUUUUGAGGCUGAAUUUAAUAAGAGUCAAACCUCUUUCCACCUGAAGAAACCAGCUGUCCUAGGGAGCGACUCUGCGGUGUACUUCUGUGCUGUGAGAGACACAGUGGUGGGGGCCACAGAGAGAGCUGAAUACAAACCCCGGCGGACAGAAAAAUCUUUUCAUGAAGACUUAACAUCCUUCCACAAGGGGGUGAUGUGGUUCCAAGAUUUGUCAUUCAUCAUGACAUAUCACAUGGCAUUUCAAACCAAAUGA